GACGUAGGGCGCGAGCGUUGUCCGGAUUUAUUGGGCGUAAAGAGCUCGUAGGCGGCUUGUUGCGUCGACUGUGAAAACCCGCGGCUUAACUGCGGGCUUGCAGUUGAUACGGGCAGGCUAGAGUUCGGUAGGGGAGACUGGAAUUCCUGGUGUAGCGGUGAAAUGCGCAGAUAUCAGGAGGAACACCGGUGGCGAAGGCGGGUCUCUGGGCCGAUACUGACGCUGAGGAGCGAAAGCGUGGGGAGCGAGCAGG
rnacentral:rRNA from 1 species